rnacentral:rRNA from 1 species
GGACGAACGCUGGCGGCGUGCUUAACACAUGCAAGUCGAGCGGUAAGGCCCUUUCGGGGGUACACGAGCGGCGAACGGGUGAGUAACACGUGGGUGACCUGCCCUUAGCUCUGGGAUAAGCCUGGGAAACUGGGUCUAAUACCGGAUAUGACUCCAUGACGCAUGUUGUGGGGUGGAAAGCCUUGUGCGGCUAGGGAUGGGCCCGNGGCCUAUCAGCUUGUUGGUGGGGUNAUGGCCUACCAAGGCGACGACGGGUAGCCGGCCUGAGAGGGCGACCGGCCACACUGGGACUGAGACACGGCCCAGACUCCUACGGGAGGCAGCAGUGGGGAAUCUUGCGCAAUGGGCGAAAGCCUGACGCAGCGACGCCGCGUGAGGGAUGACGGCCUCGGUU